CCUACGGGAGGCAGCAGUGGGGAAUUUUGGACAAUGGGCGCAAGCCUGAUCCAGCCAUGCCGCGUGAGUGAAGAAGGCCUUCGGGUUGUAAAGCUCUUUCGGCCGGGAAGAAAUCGUGGUCUCUAACAUAGGCCAUGGAUGACGGUACCGGACUAAGAAGCACCGGCUAACUACGUGCCAGCAGCCGCGGUAAUACGUAGGGUGCGAGCGUUAAUCGGAAUUACUGGGCGUAAAGCGUGCGCAGGCGGUUUUGUAAGACAGAUGUGAAAUCCCCGGGCUUAACCUGGGAACUGCGUUUGUGACUGCAAGGCUAGAGUACGGCAGAGGGGGGUGGAAUUCCUGGUGUAGCAGUGAAAUGCGUAGAGAUCAGGAGGAACACCGAUGGCGAAGGCAGCCCCCUGGGCCUGUACUGACGCUCAUGCACGAAAGCGUGGGGAGCAAACAGGAUUAGAUACCCUGGUAGUCCACGCCCUAAACGAUGUCGACUAGUCGUUCGGAGCAGCAAUGCACUGAGUGACGCAGCUAACGCGUGAAGUCGACCGCCUGGGGAGUACGGCCGCAAGGUUAAAACUCAAAUGAAUUGACGG
rnacentral:rRNA from 1 species